AAGUAAUCCAAUUAUCUCCAAGGACAGAGGCAAAACUCCAUUAAGCACAUUGCAGUAAAAGGACAGUAAAAUACAAUAAAAUACACAAGGUUUUAUUACAUAUAAUACAGACAUGCAACAUAUCCCCAGAUUAUUACUGAAUGGCGCUCAGACCACACACAUACAGUUCAAUCGACAUGGAGCCAAAGUCUUUUAUUACAUGAAUAGGCUCCA